rnacentral:rRNA from 1 species
GACGAACGCUGGCGGCGUGCCUAAUACAUGCAAGUUGAGCGAUGAAGAUUGGUGCUUGCACCAAUUUGAAGAGCAGCGAACGGGUGAGUAACGCGUGGGGAAUCUGCCUUUGAGCGGGGGACAACAUUUGGAAACGAAUGCUAAUACCGCAUAACAACUUUAAACAUAAGUUUUAAGUUUGAAAGAUGCAAUUGCAUCACUCAAAGAUGAUCCCGCGUUGUAUUAGCUAGUUGGUGAGGUAAAGGCUCACCAAGGCGAUGAUACAUAGCCGACCUGAGAGGGUGGUCGGCCACAUUGGGACUGAGACACGGCCCAAACUCCUACGGGAGGCAGCAGUAGGGGAUCUUCGGCAAUGGACGAAGGUCUGACCGAGCAACGCCGCGUGAGUGAAGGAGGUUUUCGGAUCGUAAAACUCUGUUGGUAGAGAAGAACGUUGGUGAGAGUGGAAAGCUCAUCAAGUGACGGUAACUACCCAGAAAGGGACGGCUAACUACGUG